rnacentral:rRNA from 1 species
CCUACGGGAGGCAGCAGUGGGGAAUAUUGGACAAUGGGCGAAAGCCUGAUCCAGCAAUGCCGCGUGAGUGAUGAAGGCCUUCGGGUCGUAAAGCUCUUUUACCAGGGAUGAUAAUGACAGUACCUGGAGAAUAAGCUCCGGCUAACUCCGUGCCAGCAGCCGCGGUAAUACGGAGGGAGCUAGCGUUGUUCGGAAUUACUGGGCGUAAAGAGUACGUAGGCGGUUAUUCAAGUCAGAGGUGAAAGCCCGGGGCUCAACCCCGGAACUGCCUUUGAAACUAGAUAGCUAGAGUCUUGGAGAGGUUAGUGGAAUUCCGAGUGUAGAGGUGAAAUUCGUAGAUAUUCGGAAGAACACCAGUGGCGAAGGCGACUAACUGGACAAGUACUGACGCUGAGGUACGAAAGCGUGGGGAGCAAACAGGAUUAGAUACCCUGGUAGUCCACGCCGUAAACGAUGAUAACUAGUUGUUCGGUCACUUGGUGACUGAGUGACGCAGCUAACGCAUUAAGUUAUCCGCCUGGGGAGUACGGUCGCAAGAUUAAAAACUCAAAGGAAUUGACGGCUGAGACCGNGCGACGACGACACGAGGAGGAGG